rnacentral:lncRNA from 1 species
CUCCAUCUGAGAAUGUGGCCACGGAACCAAAGGAAACCACAACCGUAGGUGAACCUGACAAAGAGUAAUGUUGUUAAUAUCCUUGUAAUGCAAUUGGGAAGGAGGUGAAAUGUUGUCUUUGUGAUGAAAGAAUGAUAAUUUGGUGCCUAUGUUUAUCUUAUUCACAUUUGUGUUACUUUAUUUUCCUAGCAUAGGGCAUAACUUGAAUGUUCAGUUUGUUGUAUUAAAUAAUGAAUACUGCGUGUUGGGG